UCCUACGGGAGGCAGCAGUGGGGGAUAUUGCACAAUGGAGGAAACUCUGAUGCAGCAACGCCGCGUGAAGGAAGACGGUUUUCGGAUUGUAAACUUCUAUCAGCAGGGAAGAAAAUGACGGUACCUGACUAAGAAGCCCCGGCUAACUACGUGCCAGCAGCCGCGGUAAUACGUAGGGGGCAAGCGUUAUCCGGAUUUACUGGGUGUAAAGGGUACGUAGGCGGCCCAUUAAGUCAGAUGUGAAAGCCCGAGGCUCAACCUCGGGACUGCAUUUGAAACUGGUGGGCUAGAGUACAGGAGAGGAAAGCGGAAUUCCUAGUGUAGCGGUGAAAUGCGUAGAGAUCUGAAGGAAUACCAGUGGCGAAGGCGGCCCCCUGGACAGAUACUGACACUCAGAUGCGAAAGCGUGGGGAGCAAACAGGAUUAGAUACCCUGGUAGUCCACGCCGUAAACGAUGUCUACUUGGAGGUUGUGGCCUUGAGCCGUGGCUUUCGGAGCUAACGCGUUAAGUGGACCGCCUGGGGAGUACGGUCGCAAGAUUAAAACUCAAAUGAAUUGACGG
rnacentral:rRNA from 1 species